ACCUCGGUGGUGUUGUGAUAGAGCACGCGUCUUCGGAUAGGAUGAAACGCGGGUUAGAUUCCCGCCUGGGGCC